rnacentral:rRNA from 1 species
UACGGAGGGUGCAAGCGUUAUCCGGAUUCACUGGGUUUAAAGGGUGCGUAGGCGGCUUUAUAAGUCAUUGGUGAAAGCUCGCAGCUUAACUGUGAAACUGCCAUUGAAACUGUUUAGCUUGAAUCUGGUUGAAGUGGGCGGAAUACAACAUGUAGCGGUGAAAUGCUUAGAUAUGUUGUAGAACACCGAUUGCGAAGGCAGCUCACUAAACCAACAUUGACGCUGAGGCACGAAAGCGUGGGUAGCGAACAGG